rnacentral:rRNA from 1 species
CUAGCCCUGAAAAUGGAUGGCGCUCAAGCGUCCUCCCGAUACUCGACCGUCGGGGCAGUAACGGCCUUCGCGGGUCUCGAAGCCCCGACGAGUAGGAGGGUCGUGGCGGUGAGCGUUGAAGGGACCGGCGUGAGCCGGCCUGGAGCCGCCGCUAGUGCAGAUCUUGGUGGUAGUAGCAAAUACUCGAGUGAGAUCCUUGAGGACUGACCGUGGAGAAGGGUUCCAUGUGAACAUCAGUUGAACAUGGGUUAGUCGGUCCUAAGCCUCAGCCGAAAGGCGUCUCAGCGCUGGCAAGGUGUCAAUCCCAAUCUCUCUGGAAGGAUCGCCCCGAAAGGGGUUUUUCCCGACCGAGGGGACGCUCCCUCGGACCCCCUUCAACAGGGGUCCGGGAUGGCGUCCUGGUUCCUCCCCCCUCGCCGGGGGAGGGUCAGGCGUUUGCCGAUCAGCCGUUGUAGAUUUGUAGGCGAAAGGGAAUCUGGUACUUAUUCCAGAACCUCGUCCCGGAUAAGACGUCCCCGAGCGCUCGCGCGAGGGUAUAACGGUCCUGGUAACGGGAAUGACCCUGCAUACACUGGCGGCGGUCCGGGGAAGAGUUUUCUUUUUUGUUAAAACUCCGGUGCCCUUGGAAGCUACUCGCAAAGGCGAUAGGGUCGUGGUAGCGUAGAGCGCCGCGGUUCUUGCGGGCGUCCCGUGCGCCGUCGUCGGUCCUUGAAAAUGCAGGCGAGGGCGGAAACCCAAAGGUCGCAGCACUACAUGUUCGUAAAAAAGCAUGGAAGUUGCCUCCGACGGGGUAGUAAGCUCUCUGACGUCGACUGGUAGAAAGGAUUGGAGUCGGACGUGGGACUCGUUCUCUGUCCACCCCUUUGAUCCCCGAACACCAAAUCUCCUGUCCGGUCACGUUGGCGGAGGUAGGGCCCCUCGCGGGCCUGAAACCCCUUCACGGACUUUCGGGCGAGCCCGUACCCAUAUCCGCAGCAGGUCUCCAAGGUGAAUAGCCUCUAGUCGAUAGAUUAAUGUAGGUAAGGGAAGUCGGCAAAUUA